ensembl:lncRNA
CACACAUUUAUUUAUUUUUUAAUUAAAAAUAAGUACCAUUAAAUGUAGGAUCCGUUUGACGGUAGAAUAACAAUCACUGUAGUUAUUUAUGGAGAAAAUAAACUACAUAGUAGGCCCGGAUUUGUCGCACUGUGGCUACCUGAAUGAGUCUCGCGAGAGUUGCUCGUACGCUCACCACCUGAGUGAGUAUCGCGAGAUUUCGGUUACCUUGGCUGCAGCACACACACACAGUGACGCCGGAGGAUGUGUAAAGAUUGAGCGGCGAGCCAAACACCGAGAAAACGCAACGACACCGACUCGAACCAGGCAAGCAAACUGAAAAAAACCAAAAACAAAUAUCUUACUAUUAAAACUUAUUCAUGUUUCCGUCAAUACGUGUUUAUGGUUUGAAGUUCAGAUGUAGCGUAAUGCGCGCGCACUCAUACACACACAUGUGCUGGUCUUAAAGAAUGAGUGACGUUUGCUGGUUACGUCCCAUGCCGCGCGCCUACCUACUACACAGUAUAGAAGUAUAGAUUACUAUAAGGUUACCAUAGUUACCAAGGAGGCGUAGCAUAACUGCGUACUAUAUAGUACAGUAGUGCGCAGGUUGUAGCGGAGCUGCUGUUUCGUGCAACGUGGGAGGAGCUUCCUGAGGAAACAGGUGUGUGUGUCGAUAGGGAUGAUGUCAUUGGUUCUGGAUCACCUGGAAAAACUUGCAUUCAGGCUGCUGGCUAGCAACACACACACACAAGACAGCUGUUCCGCACAGAUCACCUGCCAACCUGCUGUGAGUAUAGAAACUUUACCUAGUUGUGUCAUUUCUUUCGGACUGAAUGUUUUAUUUAUAUUUGGAAUUUGAAAUAUAGGAUCUAUAUCUAUAGCUGAUGAGUGUUUUCACCUUCCUGAAAUAUAACCUUACCAAUACUACCUCAGCUAAAAGUGCGCUUUGUACUUUAUAUUACUCAGUUGAAAAUGCUUCAAUGUGCAGUUUAUAUAGCUUAAUAUGCUUUAACAGGGUAAGAUAUAUGGCGGACUUUUACAUGAAUUGGCUUCAUUGUAAAUUUUAUUACUAAGCACUUGAUGUCAUUGCUGCUUUUAUGUGGAUGUAGUGUGUCCUCGCCUCUCUUCUGUAGGCCCUUUUCAUCAUUUACUGUAGCGUAACUUGUUCAGAAUAAUGCUUCCCUUGAGCCAAAUAAAAAUGAAGAUGACUCAGGGGUAAAUCUCCACAUAAACCAUGCUUACUCUUACUUUUGCAAACUCUUAGGCCUAGUCCGUUUUAGGAACAGGAACAAAAAUAUCUGUUCCCUGCUGUGUUUUGUAACAAGAAGGCCUGUCUGCGUAGGAUGUAUAGCUUUCAGCAUAUAGGUGUGCGCACUGAGGUUGCCUAUUGCUUCUCUGUUGUCAUGGAGUUGUACAGGAUUAAUAGUGUGUGUGUGUGUGUGUGUGUGUGUGUGUGUUUAGGUUUAAUGACAUGAGUGUGAGUAAAGGUUGACGCUCAGAGGGAGGCGUCAUUCAGAGGCAAUGAUGUCAUGUAGGAAGUAACUCUCGUAAAGAACAGAACACACACACACACACACACUCUCAUGCAAAAACCAGGAUGUGCAUGUUGUGAUCACUUAGUCACGAUCAUUAUCAUCCAAGUGGCACAAAUGUCUAUUUGUUCUUUGCACUUUAAAACCCCUAAGUUAUAUUGUGAUUAGAAUAUGCCAAUAUUUGGAAGUGCUGCUUUCCUCUUCUGCUUGUAUUUGGUUGCAGUGAAUUGGACCAUGUAUGGGGGAGACCUGGGGAUUUUCUGAAUAUGAAUAAAAUUAAGUAUGAUUUCCGUUUAGGCAGCGUUUAAACUUUCACCCUCCCUCAAGCUAUAGUGGUCCGUAAGUAAAAAAACAAAACAAAACACAUUAACAAAGCAAACAUGCAACAACAAAUCAGAUAACACAACAACAAAACUGAAGAGAAACAAGAGCAGAACAGGAAGGGGAGAUCAUGCCUUUCACAAGAAAAAAAGAAUUGCACUUUUCCAGUCUUUUGUAUAGUUAGUCUCGUGACAACAUUUUAAUGCAAAGUUAAUUUUUUACGAAUAACCCAGCUUCCCUUAGAUGGAUUUUCAGCUUACUCAUAAAUACAGUGCAAAGUUGCCAGCAUGUUUAAAAUAUCAUCGUAUGAACGCACUUGAUAAUUAUACGUAUGAAUAAAAAAAGCAGUAGAUUUAUUUUGUCUAUAUUUCCUACUAAUAUAAGUAUUCUCCAGCUCGCCAGUCAGCAACAAGCAUGUGAUGUUCAGUAGGACCUACACUUUCUGUUUAGAGUUAAUGCUGCGGUGUUUUGGGUGUUGCUAUCAUGUUUACAAUUUCACCGUUGUGUUUCUGGCUUUGUUGUUGCAUUUUCUGAUUUGCUGUUGGGUUUUUUGGUUUGUUAAUGUGUUACAGCCCUUACAGCCCACCAUAAUCGCCUAUACACACAAUACAGUACAUACAAGAAGCAAACACACUGUAUAUGGUUCUGAAGCACUCAAAAGAGAGUGCUAAGCGCAUUCAUCAGCGCAGAUAUGUGGCUUUAGUAGACAGCUCAGCCUGGCCUUUUCAGGGUGACGAGAGAGAGUUGGUGUUUGAACGGAGAGGGAAUGCAUUGUUAUCAGGAAGGCCUUUUGUCUUCCAGCAUCAGCCUUUUUUUUGGUUGAAUAGCUUUAUUGUGGGAAAAUGUUCUGUUCCCCCUGCCUCCAUUCUCAGUAACACUAUUGAAAGAAAUUGUGAUUAUUAUUGUUGUUGUUUUAAUUGUUUACGUCUGGCUUGAUUUCAGUUUUUCAGUUUGUUUCUUCCUACUCUGUGUUGUGUAUCAGGAGGCAGGAUUUCCCCCCAUGCAGUCAGUGUGUGUUGUUUUCAUGAUGUCUGUGAUGUUCAUGGCAUUCGGCCUGUACGAAUGGAGUUGUUUGGACUAGAGCGGACAUGGUUUUCAGACUUUGGGUGAAAACGGGCUCAGGUUCAACAUGCAGAUCAAGUCGCCUGGAGUCAUAGUGCUUAAAAUUCACAGCUGUGGUUUGAAUAUCUGUACUUCCAAGAAAGGAAUCUGUUUGUACAUUCUGCAGUAGGUGCUGUUUGGAGUCCCAUAGGGAAGAAAAUUGUGCAUAAAUCCAGGACUGGCUCUGGCUUCUUGUUUUUGAGGUUUGAGAGCUUAGUGAGAUCCAGAUAUUCAGAUAUCUCUUUUGACAUAGUCUGGAAAUGGACUUCACAUGCGUUUUGAUGCUUCAGGCUCUGGUGUGGUUGAAUGGCUUUGUUGAUAGUUUAUUAAAGUUACUGUAUCACUUUGUUUCAUGAAACAAAAACCUUCAACACCUUCCAAUUCAAAGUUCCACAUGAGCUUGUCUUCCCUCCCUUCCUUCCUCCAUGAGUUCACUGAAAGCCAACAUUGUUGGCCUGCAGCAGUUCGGAGUCGAACAGUGGCUUUGUAGUCUUUCAUCCAUUAUUGUGUUUUAUUGCAUUAUUGCAAUAUAAGUAUUUCAUCUACUGUUGGUAAUAGCUUUUGUAUGGGAACC